GACGAACGCUGGCGGCGUGCUUAACACAUGCAAGUCGAACGGAAAGGCCCUGCUUUUGUGGGGUGCUCGAGUGGCGAACGGGUGAGUAACACGUGAGUAACCUGCCCUUGACUUUGGGAUAACUUCAGGAAACUGGGGCUAAUACCGGAUAGGAGCUCCUGCUGCAUGGUGGGGGUUGGAAAGUUUCGGCGGUUGGGGAUGGACUCGCGGCUUAUCAGCUUGUUGGUGGGGUAGUGGCUUACCAAGGCUUUGACGGGUAGCCGGCCUGAGAGGGUGACCGGCCACAUUGGGACUGAGAUACGGCCCAGACUCCUACGGGAGGCAGCAGUGGGGAAUAUUGCACAAUGGGCGGAAGCCUGAUGCAGCAACGCCGCGUGCGGGAUGACGGCCUUCGGGUUGUAAACCGCUUUCGCCUGUGACGAAGCGUGAGUGACGGUAAUGGGUAAAGAAGCACCGGCUAACUACGUGCCAGCAGCCGCGGUGAUACGUAGGGUGCGAGCGUUGUCCGGAUUUAUUGGGCGUAAAGGGCUCGUAGGUGGUUGAUCGCGUCGGAAGUGUAAUCUUGGGGCUUAACCCUGAGCGUGCUUUCGAUACGGGUUGACUUGAGGAAGGUAGGGGAGAAUGGAAUUCCUGGUGGAGCGGUGGAAUGCGCAGAUAUCAGGAGGAACACCAGUGGCGAAGGCGGUUCUCUGGGCCUUUCCUGACGCUGAGGAGCGAAAGCGUGGGGAGCGAACAGGCUUAGAUACCCUGGUAGUCCACGCUGUAAACGGUGGGUACUAGGUGUGGGGUCCAUUCCACGGGUUCCGUGCCGUAGCUAACGCUUUAAGUACCCCGCCUGGGGAGUACGGCCGCAAGGCUAAAACUCAAAGGAAUUGACGGGGCCCCGCACAAGCGGCGGAGCAUGCGGAUUAAUUCGAUGCAACGCGUAGAACCUUACCUGGGUUUGACAUGGAUCGGGAGUGCUCAGAGAUGGGUGUGCCUCUUUUGGGGUCGGUUCACAGGUGGUGCAUGGCUGUCGUCAGCUCGUGUCAUGAGAUGUUGGGUUAAGUCCCGCAACGAGCGCAACCCUUGUUCACUGUUGCCAGCACGUUAUGGUGGGGACUCAGUGGAGACCGCCGGGGUCAACUCGGAGGAAGGUGGGGAUGACGUCAAAUCAUCAUGCCCCUUAUGUCCAGGGCUUCACGCAUGCUACAAUGGCUGGUACAGAGAGUGGCGAGCCUGUGAGGGUGAGCGAAUCUCGGAAAGCCGGUCUCAGUUCGGAUUGGGGUCUGCAACUCGACCUCAUGAAGUCGGAGUCGCUAGUAAUCGCAGAUCAGCAACGCUGCGGUGAAUACGUUCCCGGG
rnacentral:rRNA from 1 species